rnacentral:sRNA from 1 species
UAUAAAAAUAAAAUUUGCAAGUUUUAAUAGAUACGACUUUUAAAAAAUAAAUCGUCCCGCGGUAUACCACGGGUUAAAAUCUAGUAGUAAUAUAUAUAGGCAGUGAGAACGUAACGAUGUGUUGGAGAGCAUAUGAAAGUUAU